CCUACGGGAGGCAGCAGUAGGGAAUAUUGGGCAAUGGAGGCAACUCUGACCCAGCCAUGCCGCGUGCAGGAAGACGGUCCUCUGGAUUGUAAACUGCUUUUGAAUGGGAAGAAUGUGCUCCUUGCGAGGGGUAAUGACGGUACCAUUAGAAUAAGCCACGGCUAACUACGUGCCAGCAGCCGCGGUAAUACGUAGGUGGCGAGCGUUAUCCGGAUUUAUUGGGUUUAAAGGGUGCGUAGGCGGCUUAAUAAGUCGGUGGUUAAAAGUAGCAGCUUAACUGUUUUACAUGCCAUCGAUACUGUUGAGCUUGAGAUAUUUGGAGGCAGCUAGAAUUUCCGGUGUAGCGGUGAAAUGCAUAGAUACCGGAAGGAAUACCAAUUGCGAAGGCAGGUUGCUACGAAUAAACUGACGCUGAUGCACGAAAGCGUGGGGAUCAAACAGGAUUAGAUACCCUGGUAGUCCACGCCGUAAACGAUGAUUACUAGUUGUUGGGGUUUAAGCCUUCAGUGACCAAGGGAAACCGAUAAGUAAUCCACCUGGGGAGUACGCCGGCAACGGUGAAACUCAAAGGAAUUGACGGCUGAGACGNGCGAGACGACGACGAGGAGAG
rnacentral:rRNA from 1 species